GCAUACUUGGCCGAGCGGUCUAAGGCGACAGACUCAAGAUCUGUUACUCAUGUGAGUGCCUUAGCAUAGUUCGAAUCCUGCAGUAUGCA
rnacentral:tRNA from 1 species